rnacentral:rRNA from 1 species
AACGAACGCUGGCGGCAUGCCUAACACAUGCAAGUCGAACGAGGACUUCGGGUCGAGUGGCGAAUGGGUGCGUAACGCGUGGGAACCUGCGCUUAGGUUCGGACUAACUUCCCGAAAGGGGUGCUAAUACCGGAUAAAGUCUUCGGACCACAGAUAUAUCGACUUUGGUUGGGCCCGCGUUGGGUUAGCUAGUUGGUAGGGUAAAAGCCUGCCAAGGCGACGAUGCAUAGCUGGUCUGAGAGGAUGAUCAGCCACACUGGGAAUGAGACACGGCCCAGACUCGUACGGGAGGCAGCAGUGGGGAAUAUUGUACAAUGGGCGAAAGCCUGAUCCAGCAAUGCCGCGUGAGUGAUGAAGGCCUUAGGGUUGUAAAGCUCUUUUACCCGGGAUGAUAAUGACAGUACCUGGAGAAUAAGCUCCGGCUAACUCCGUG